UUCCCAAAACGGAAGCGUGUCACUGCUGUGUUGUGGGAGUGCAGAGGAGAGGAUCUCCGUCUUCCAAAGGACAUUCCCUGGUCUCUAGGAUCUCUUUGUAAACCACAUUGGUGGUUCUCCACACCAUGUACUAGGAUCACCAGGCUACUGGGUAAGCUCCCUCUGGAGCAGGUCAUGAAGAAUUGCCCAAAUGAGAAGCAGUCCUCCCUCAAAUCAAUUCCACCUGGCGUGUACCCUUCUGUGUUCCCGCCAUCUGCACUGCAUGGGCGCUGCCACGACACUGACGGCUAGCUGAUCCGGUAUCAUCCAAUCCUGCGCUGUUUCUGUACAGAUGACUCAUUCAUCCAAUGGCUGCUGACCAGGAGGUAUAUAGGGGGUCAUUCCGACCCGUUCGCACGCUGCGGUUCAUCGGGUCAGAACUGUGCAUGCGCGACCGCAAGAAGAUUGACAGGAGGAAGGCGUUCCGGGGCGUCAACUCACCGUUUUUCAGGUGUGGAGAUCCGAACGCAGGCGUGUCCAGGUGUUUGGAGGGCGGAUGUCUGACGUCAAUUCCGGGACCUGCAACGCUGCAUCCAUCGCACAAUAAGCUGAAUAGUAUGAUUUCCUUUUGUUUGGAUGAACAAACACUCCAGAAUUCAACUGAAUACUCUCACUAGCGGAGGAAUGCAAUGGAGUCCGAGAUCGCUGGAGGUGCGGGUUGCCGGCCGUCAGUGGUGUAUCUACCCAUUGGCCAGGAUGGCACUCGCCAGGGGCGCCAGCCGAGGAGGGGGCGCCGACCAGCAGUGACACCCUCAGCCAAUGGGUGGACUCACUUAGUAGUGGCAUUGCAUGGGCUGGUGGUUCGCACAGCAGCCAGGAGUUGGUGCCAGUGUUUGGCACCGCAAUGCCCCACAGUGAAGAUACUCAAAAUAAACUACUAGAAUGGUUUUCUUAAUAUAUCACUACAUCACCACUACUAGGUAGUGCGCAUAGAUACCUUUUCACUGCCAUUUAUAUUUCAUUAUACCCCAUGGCCGUGGGUGGCAUCGCCGGGUGAUGCCCCUCCUUGGCCGCGCCAUUCACUGCUUAUUUCUUCACAUUGUGACAAGGAUUACUGUGUGGGCAUGAUGUGUAAGGGGCACUAAUGUGUGACAUAAUGUGUAUAAGGGGUUACUACUAUGUAACGUAAUUUGAAUUGGGAGUAAUAUUGGGGGUCAUUCCGAGUUGUUCGCUCAUUGACGAUUUUCGCAACAGAGCGAUUAAGGCAAAAAUGCGCAUGCGCAUGGUACGCAGUGCGCAUACGCUAAGUAUUUUAGCACAAAACUUAGUAGAUUUACUCACAUCCGAACGAAGAAUUUUCAUAGUUGAAGUGAUCGGAGUGUGAUUGACAGGAAGUGGGUGUUUCUGGGCGGAAACUGGCCGUUUUCUGGGAGUAUGCGGAAAAACGCAGGCGUGUCAGGGAAUAACUCGGGAGUGUCUGGAGAAACGGGGGAGUGGCUGGCCGAACGCUUGGCGUGUGUGUGACGUCAAACCAGGAACGAAACGGCCUGAGCUGAUCGCAAUCUGUGAGUAGGUCUGGAGCUACUCAGAAACUGCUAAGAAAUUUCUAAUCGCAAUUCUGCAAAUCUUUCGUUCGCUAUUCUGCUAAGCUAAGAUACACUCCCAUAGCGUGUGCAAUGCUGCUAAAAUCUGCUAGCGAGCGAACAACUCGGAAUCACCCCCAUUGUGUGGUCAUGUCCCUUUUCGACAACAUCAUGCCCUUUUUUUGCCUUCCCUAUUUCAAAUAUGGGGGGGUGCACCAGUCCCUUACUUUGCCAGGGGCGCCAGGGACCCUAGAUACACCUCUGCCGGCCGUUCUCACUUUUUUUUAAAGGGGCACUCACAAGGCAUGGUAAAUAGUGUAUGGGGCCCUAAGGAAGUAUUUUCUAUAGUCACAUUAUGUAAUACUUUUAUCCUAAAGUCUGUCACACAAUUAUGUAGUGAAUUUAACUUACCCACGUCCUAUUUUUAUAGAUAGCUUCAGUUGAGACACGCUUUGUCUAUACAGUUUUCUAAUAUCUUUCCACUUUUAUUAAUUUCAUCUGUCAAAACGUUUUUAGUUUCACUUGGCUCACGUAGAACUUGCUUGUGUUUGUAAUGUAUAAUUUCCUGAUAAAUGCUUAUCAUCAUGAGAAUCUUCCAGAAGGGAUAAAUAGAUAGUGGAUAUAGGUUUUAUAUGUGAGGACUCCAGGAAUACUGCCUUAGCAUCACCACGGAAUUCAACCGUAUCUAUUGGAUUCCAACAAAUACAGUGGUCUAUUCAUGAAGCAGUGAAAAGA